AAUUUUAUUCAGAAACAUAUUUCUGAAACCAGGUAAAAGAGGACUCAUGCCAAAGGCAUUUCCUCUAUUUGAUUCCACCAGGGAGAGAAGAGAACCAGCAAGCUACAACAGUGAGCAGAUUAAAGAUCCAAUUGCCAUCGCAGUAAAGGUUUGUUUGUAUACAGUAGUUGUCACAUCCAUCUGAGGGGAUGUCAGAGGUAGCCUUUCCGCCAUAAUCCACCGGAAUGCAGAGACUGUCCCUUGGGAGCCACACAGAGCAUGUUUCCAGGACAUGUCCAGGCCCAUCCCCCAUGACCAGCCAAGCGACGAAGCAAGACCCCAGGACCAACCGUGUGACAUCCUGAAGCAAGGCCCCAAAGACCAGCAGUGCGACAUCCUGAACCCUGAAGGUCACUGGAGCAACCCAUUUGAAAGAUCAUCCAGUCUGUCCUGAAGUUGUCAGGGGCCUCAUUUCUUAUUGUUGUAUACGCAUGAAAUAUGUCCCAAAAUGUGAGUGCGCCAGUUCAUGCAAAAGUUUGCUUUUAUAAAAACUGAACUUGACCUGAGAAUGUGCUUCUCCUCCCGCAAACUUUAGACCAUGUGUUUGCAGUUUCUAGUGGUUGAAGUAUUGCUUGGUAAGAAGGCAAAAGUAGCCUUGUCCUUGUGCAAAUUGGGAAUCUAUGAUGAUAAAAAUGUAAU